CGGGGAUUCGUUUAGUGGCAAGACACGACACUUUGAAUGUCGAUUCGUAGGUUCGAUUCCUGCAUCCCCUG
rnacentral:tRNA from 1 species